CCUACGGGAGGCUGCAGUGGGGGAUAUUGCACAAUGGGGGAAACCCUGAUGCAGCGACGCCGCGUGUGGGAAGACGGUCUUCUGGAUUGUAAACCACUGUCCCCAGGGACGAAACUGACGGUACCUGGGGCGGAAGCUCCGGCUAACUACGUGCCAGCAGCCGCGGUAAUACGUAGGGAGCAAGCGUUGUCCGGAAUUACUGGGUGUAAAGGGAGUGUAGGCGGGGAUGCAAGUUGGGUGUCAAAACUACCGGCUCAACCGAUAGUCGCACUCAAAACUGCAACUCUUGAGUGAAGUAGAGGCAGGCGGAAUUCCUAGUGUAGCGGUGAAAUGCGUAGAUAUUAGGAGGAACACCAGUGGCGAAGGCGGCCUGCUGGGCUUUUACUGACGCUGAGGCUCGAAAGUGUGGGGAGCAAACAGGAUUAGAUACCCCUGUAGUC
rnacentral:rRNA from 1 species